AUUCAUGGAAGCCUGUCCAAUUUUGGUUAAUGAUUUUGAAAAUAUAAGCAGACUUUGACUAAGAGAGAAAAUUAGUAGAGAGAGAGGAUACAAACUAAUGUUUACCUGCAGGUCUAGAUACUUUUUUGAAAGUCCUUGCAUCCUGUGAUUGAUACCACCAAGGUAAAGCUUACACUUUUAUUUAUGCUAAGAGAUGAGGUUGGUAGAGGGGAAUGUCAUACAAGAUUUGCUAAAUUGUUGACUAGAUGAAUAUGGUUGCGAAGAUAGGAUAUGGUAUAAUGCUCUUUUGUGAUUAGGACUUUUUAGAUGUGGAUUGCAAUAUUGUAGAAGUGAUGAUUCUAAGUUUUAAAUCAUGUGAAUCCCUGCUAUUUUCAAACCUCUUUCAGAGAGACUGCAUGUUUGUUUUGC
rnacentral:lncRNA from 1 species